rnacentral:tRNA from 1 species
GCCCAGGUGGCGGAAUUGGCAGACGCGUUAGCUUGAGGGGUUAAUGCCUUUAUAGGCGUGUAGGUUCGAGUCCUAUCCUGGGCA